rnacentral:rRNA from 1 species
UAAGGAAUAUUGGUCAAUGGACGCAAGUCUGAACCAGCCAUGCCGCGUGGAGGAUGAAGGCCCUCUGGGUUGUAAACUUCUUUUAUAUGGGACGAAACCCUCUCAUUCUUGAGAGACUGACGGUACCAUAGGAAUAAGCACCGGCUAACUCCGUGCCAGCAGCCGCGGUAAUACGGAGGGUGCAAGCGUUAUCCGGAUUCACUGGGUUUAAAGGGUGCGUAGGAGGGCAGGUAAGUCAGUGGUGAAAUCCCCGAGCUUAACUUGGGAACUGCCGUUGAUACUAUCUGUCUUGAAUAUUGUGGAGGUGAGCGGAAUAUGUCAUGUAGCGGUGAAAUGCUUAGAUAUGACAUAGAACACCAAUUGCGAAGGCAGCUCGCUACACAAAUAUUGACUCUGAGGCACGAAAGCGUGGGGAUCAAACAGGAUUAGAUACCCUGGUAGUCCACGCCCUAAACGAUGGAUACUCGACAUACGCGAUACACAGUGUGUGUCUGAGCGAAAGCAUUAGUAUCCCACCUGGGAAGUACGACCGCAAGGUUGAAACUCAAAUGAAUUGACGGGGUCAUAGCUGUUUCCUG